rnacentral:rRNA from 1 species
CACGGUGGGGGCAAGCGUUGUUCGGAAUUACUGGGCGUAAAGGGCUCGUAGGUGGCCAACUAAGUCAGACGUGAAAUCCCUCGGCUUAACCGGGGAACUGCGUCCGAUACUGGAUGGCUUGAGUUUGGGAGAGGGAUGCGGAAUUCCAGGUGUAGCGGUGAAAUGCGUAGAUAUCAGGAAGAACACCCGUGGCGAAGGCGGCUCUCUGGGACGGUACUGACGCUGAGGCGCGAAAGCCAGGGGGGCAAACGGG